UACGGAGGGGGCUAGCGUUGUUCGGAAUUACUGGGCGUAAAGCGCACGUAGGCGGCUUUGUAAGUUAGAGGUGAAAGCCCGGAGCUCAACUCCGGAAUUGCCUUUAAGACUGCAUCGCUAGAACGUCGGAGAGGUGAGUGGAAUUCCGAGUGUAGAGGUGAAAUUCGUAGAUAUUCGGAAGAACACCAGUGGCGAAGGCGACUCACUGGACGACUGUUGACGCUGAGGUGCGAAAGCGUGGGGAGCGAACCGG
rnacentral:rRNA from 1 species